AAAAUUACUCUUAUUGGCAGAAUAUUGUGUGUGUGUGUGCUUAGAAUCAAAAUAACCCCUU
rnacentral:tRNA from 1 species